GAUCGUGUUCGAGGGUCAAAUUUGAUAGUUGAGAACAAACAAAGACUCGAUGAGGCAUAUUGCACUGUUUAGUAAAAUGGACAUAACUUUUUCCUCAGAACUCCGUUUGGGCUCCAUAAUAUAAGGUUGGAAAGAUAACUCAAAUAGCUACAUCUUUCAUAUUUUAUAUGUUUUCAAACUCUAAACAGAACAGGUGAAAAAUUGCAGUUUUACCACCACCGUGGUAGAACUGCUGCAGAAGGCAGUCGUGGACGAAUGAAGAAUCUGAGAGGAUGUUUUGCCGGGGUUUGACCACUACCAUGGUAGAAUCGCGGCCAUCCAGGCCUAAAACUUGUCCUUUUUCACGGAAGAGAAGGUAUAAGUGUUUGGGCCCGACUCUACUUGGUAUACACGGAAAAAUAGUAUUUUUGAGGAGGGGACAUAUUUUUGACACCUGUUGGACCUAAGGAGGCAGAGACACAAUAGGGGCAAGGCUU
rnacentral:lncRNA from 1 species